rnacentral:tRNA from 1 species
GGCGGAUGAUGCCAAGUGGAUAAAG